rnacentral:lncRNA from 1 species
GAUUUGUUUACUUUAAACUUUCUCAAGUAGAGGAAUUCCUAUAAGAUAGGAAUAUUAGUUUAUACUUUCUUAAAGUUCAUAAGAGUUAGUAUAUUGGUUAGUUUAGUUGAUUCAACCCUAGCUCUGCAGAAGAUUAAAAGUUUAUUGGGAUGUUAUUUAUAGCUAAUUCUUCUUAUCUAGUUAUCCAAUCUUAUUUUAGAAUCUUGUUAUUAUGAAGGUGACAAUAGCAAUGAUAGAUAAGUGAGCAAGAGUUCCUACACCGUUAAGCGUAUCAGGUGGGCAUUCUAAACUCAUAAUUUGAAGUGCGCACUAUUUAAUUAUGUUAUUAUAUGAAUGAAGUUAUAUUAAAGUUAUUGACUUGCCAAAAACUUUUUAUGAGCUUGUAUGUUACCAUCUACGAGAGAUAGACGAUAUCGGCCCUAUGCUGAAGCGAGAUGUCAGUAAGGGUUUGUGCACAUAGUUGUGACCGUGAGUCAUCGAGCGGGUUGGCCGGUCACUGUGAUCGGGAGCCUUCGGGCCGAUCACUGUGUUUGAGAAGGAGGCCUACUUCUCAACACAAGGUUACAUGAUGCGUAGUUAUGGUACAUACAUGUUAAUUGUGCAGACGUAUAUGAUAUUAUGAUGAUAUAUAUAUAGAAGUUUUACAGUUUUGGCGUGCACAGGUUAUUUAAAUAAAACUCCUGUGUGAUGCUUGAGAUGGCAAGUUCAAUAUAUAGCUCUAAGAGCAAACUUUAAAGUUAUUUCGGCAUGUGACCAUUGAGUACCUUUUUAGUACUCAGCCCUGCAUAUGUUUCUAAAUGUGCAGGUUAAGCUGUGAUGCAGAUGGAGGCGAGCAGAGCAAAGCUUUUGAAGUAUAAGUAUUAAAUUAGGCUCAGGAUUCCAUGUCUUCAUACAUGUAAUCCACUUAAGUAUUUCCGCUGCAACACUUAGUGUAUUUUACUUUAUUGAUGUGUUGUAUAGAUUUUAAAUCAAUAGCUUUGAGAAUUAUGUCACUGGAAAAUUUGACAACUUGUCGUUGUGUUAUUGUGAGUUGUCUGCCUAAGCAGUUUAGAAAAGAUUGCUCAUGAGUUUUAAAAGUGAUUUGCUCAUGAUUAUUCAAUACUAAAGUAAUUCAUCGUUAAAGAGGGUUCAUUAUUAUUAUUUAAAUCUCUUUCCUUUUUCAUUUUCUUUCUCCUUUUUCCCAGUCACACCUUUCCCCGGCUUAACUAUACACUAUAUUAGGCCGGGCUGUGACAAAGUGGUAUCAGAGCAGGUCGUUUGCUCUGAGCCUAAAUAUUCCUUUGAGUCUAGUCUAAAUUUGAAUCUUUGGACUAGUGUGAGUAAUAUAGUAAAAGCUCUGCUCUCCAUCUCAUCCAACUUAGCCAGGUACGGAUUUUCAGAGUUUUGAAGUAGCAUGUUACAUUUUUAAACAAGUUUUAGAUAUGAGUUGCAGUUUUGCAAGUAUUAGUAUGAUGGAAACUUAUAUAUUUUAAAAUGAGCAUGGACAACAUGAGUUAUUUAUGAGUAUCCUCUGCCUAUACGAACUUUUGAGAUUUGAAUGGAUAAAAGUGUUAUUCAUAUUUUAAUAUUUGUGUUUUGAUAUGUGGAUGGAGAUAUAGAAAGUUUGAUGAUACAAUAAUGACGUAUAUCAGUCGCGAUGUAACCUAGUACUAGUAGUGAUGUUAUACUAGUUACGGCACCACAAUUAAUACUAAGAGCUUUUUGCAACAUAUAUUCCUAUCUUUCGUAUGAGAACUCAUUGAGGCAAAUUUUCUCAUGAUAUGAAGUGAUCAAAGUGGUCAUNUGAGAAGGAGGCCUACUUCUCAACACUCAGAGUUAUUAUGAUGCGUAGAUAUGGUACAUACAUGUUAAUUGUCAGCAGACGUAUAUGAUGUUAUGAUGAUUAUAGAGAAGUUUUUAUAGUUUUGCAUGCACAGGUUAUUUAAAUAAAACCCAUGUGUGAUGCUUGAGAUGGCAAGUUCAAUAUAUAGCUCUAAGAGCAAGUUUAAAGUUAUUUCGGCAUGUAACCACUGAGUGCUAUUUGAUACUCAGCCCUGCGUAUGUUUCUAAAUAUGCAGGUUAAGCUGUGAUGUAGAUGGAAGCAAGCAGAGCAAAGCCUUCAGAGUAUAUUAAAUUAGGCUCAGGAUUCCAUGUCUUCAUACAUGUAAUCCACAUGAAUUAUCCGCUGCAACACUCAGUCUAUUCUACUUUGUUGAUGUGUUGUAACAAUAUUUUUAAAUCAAUAGCUUUGAGUAAUUAUAAUCACUUGAAAGUUAGACAACUUGUCGUUGUGUAUUGUAAGUUGUCUACUCAUGAGUUUUAAAAGUGAUUGCUUAUGAUUAUCCAAUAUUAAAGUAAUUCAUCGUUAAAGAGGGUUCAUUAUUAUUAUUUAAAUCUCUUUUAUUUUUCAUUUUCUUUUUCCCUUCCCCAGUCACACAUUUUCCCUGACUUAACUGUUGUUAGUUUAGGUCGGGCUGUGACAAAGUGGUAUCAGAGCAGGUUGUUUGCUCUGAGCCUAAACAUUCCCUUGAGUCUAGUCUAAAUUUGAAUCUUUAGACUAAAAUGAGUAAUAUAGUAAAAGCUCUGCGCUCCAUCUCAUCCAGCAUAGCCAGGUACUGAUUUUCAGAGUUUUAAAGAAUCAAUUUACAGUUUGAAAGAGUUUGAGUUGUUAAUAUUGCAACUUUGCAAGAAAGUUAUUAAUAUUGCAAUUUUGCAAGAAUCUAGUAUUUGGAGAAGUUUACAUGUUUACAAGUGAGUGAAUAUGAAUAACAUGAGUUAUUUAUGAGUAUCCUCUGCCUAUACGAACUUUUGAGAUUUGAAUGAAUAAAAGUGUUAUUCAUAUAUUAAUAUUUAUAUUUUGAUAUGUGGAUGGAGAUAUAUAUAGACAGAUUGAUGAUACAAUAAUGAUGUAUAUCAGUCGCGAUGUAACCUAGUACUAGUAGUGAUGUUAUACAGUUAGGGCACCACAAUCAGUACUAAGAGCUUUUUGCAACAUAUAUUCCUAUCUUUCGUAUGAGAACUCAUUGAGGCAAAUUUUCUCAUGAUAUGAAGUGAUCAGAGUGGUCAUUUACUAGGUUAUUAUUGAGCUUUACUUGCUUAGAUGAUUGAAUUUUUGUGUAUGAGUUUUAUAACUUAGUUGGAUUAUAGUUAAGUAGGAGUUUGACUUUACUGAUGGGAUGAAAGCUCAAUUUUGGAGAUUUUGUGUAUUUACUCGGCAUGAUGUCUCAAAGAAGCAGUGGAAAUCUGCCAUCCGCCAUGUGAAUAAUUUAGAGAACUACUCGUCCCCAUCAACUUGAAAGAAGAAUAGCAGAAGUUUUUCAUCGUCAAGAUCCCUUUAUUGCGAGUUAAGCGGUAGAGUUUCAAAGAGGCAGUAGAGUUUUACGAGUUUCGCUUCCUUAGAUGCAAUGAUCAAGAGCGCCUUCUUGUAUGUUAUUUCAACUACAAGGAUCGACUUAUNAGUAGUGGGAGACGAAGCAGAAGAUAUAUACCCUCGAGCGAUUAGAGAAUCUUAUUUGGGGCCAGUUCACAGAAGUUUUUAUGAAGAAUAUGUUUCCAGAAGCCGUCGUCAGCAAAAAGGAGACGUAAUUUAACAAUUUAAAGCAAUAGAAGAAGACAGUAGCUGAAUGUGAUCAAGGGUUUUGUGAUAUAGCUGGAUAUAUGCCUUAUAAGGCUGACACAUAUAUUAGUUGUAACUUUUGAUAGAGUUUUGAUGUAGUGCCUUUGCUUGUUGGCAAACCAAAUAUUCUUUCAGCUAUUGCAAGCCAAACAUUCCUUCAACUAAUGAAGAUAUCUCUUUUCCAUUUCAUCCCUCCCACCAAAAGUUUUGUUUGAAAUCUUGAUAUAAUUUAGUGCUUCUGUGGUGGGCAGUAUAUAGCGUAUCAUGAGCUUUACUCGUGAUUUUAUUUCUCAACUGUUCAGUAUUGGGUACACAACUUUUCUCAAACAUGAUAGCAGUACCCCUAGCUUUUUGGCAAGUAUUGACCCCUUCUAUCAAAAUCCUUACCCAUAAUUUUUCUCCUUUUUAUUUUCCCCAUGUACUUUAACAAUUCUUCUUCUCAAAUCAAAAAUCAUUGUUAACAUUGCAAUUACAGCUUCUCUUGUUUGCUGUGGUAGAACCAUUUGUAAAUCCAACUUUCAAAUCCUUGAUGAGAAUUUUUCUUCAUGGGUAAGGAGAAAUCCUUAGUAAACUUGAGUUUUUCUACUCAAGGCAUCCACUAUUAUAUUGGCUUUGCGUGGGUGAUAAUUUAUUCUACAAUCAUAGUCCCUUACUAAUUCGAGCUAUAUUCCUUGUCUCACACUUAGAUCUUUUGCUCGAAUAAGUAUUUUAAACUUUUAUGAGGUGUAUCAAUUCCACAUCUCGUUUCAGAAUACCAUUGUUGCUAGUUCCAAGUUAUGUUGAGCAAUUCAGUUCUUGUGGUCUAUGUUCUCAUGACCCAAUAACAAUAACUCUUUCACUUUGCAACAAUGCACAACCAAGUCCAUCUUUGAUACACAGGACCAAUUUUAUAUGGUCUUUCAACUUUGAGAAUUCGGCCAUAUUUUAAAAUAGCCUUUCAUCCAACAACAGAUGAGCAAUUUGAGAGAAAUCUUUAAACCUUAGAAGAUGUGACAUAGACUAUUGUACUAGAGCGAAGAAGUGGCGACCUUAGCAGUAGGGACACUGGCGAUCGUAAGAAAUUCUGGGUUCCAAAACUCUCUUUCCAAAAAUGAUUUUUCAGAAGGAGCGAAUUCCCCGCAAACAAGGCAGGAGACGACUAUCUCAAGGUGCAUCACGCGUACUCAGAAGCCGCAUUAUGCACUAGAUUGAAGGAUGAAUUGGGAAAACCUUUUGCUAGUAAUUGAAUUGGCCUACAAUUAUAGCUUUCGGGCAAUAAUUGAUAUGACACCAUAUGGAGCUUAUUGUGGAAAGAAAUAUUGAUCUCCACUCUAUUGACAUGAGGUAAGUGAAAGAAAAGUAACAGGACCUGAUGCGCUUGAAGAAAUGAUUACGCUUAUCCGACAAAUUCAACAACUGCUCAACGAACCUCAAGAGCGACAGAAAUUUUUUUUUGUAGAUACUCGUUGAUUUGAUUUGAAAUUUUUGAAAUAGGGGAUGAAGUUUUUCUCAGUGUUCCGCAUUCUAAGAAUGCACAAAUUCGAUGUGAAAGAGAAGUAUCUAGCAUUAUUCUCUGACGUAGUCAAAUUUCGAGGACGAAAUUUCUUUAAGGGGGAGAGGAUGUAACACCCAGCAUUUUCACUACAGUAUAUAUAUUAUUUUCUAUUAUCUAAAAGAAGAAAGAGAAGUAGAAUCACUGAGAUGAGAUGAGAUAUUAUUAUAAUACCUUGAGCUUUUAAUUCAAUGAUUGCAUAAUUUGAAUAAUUAAGUAUUCUUGCUUUCUUUAUUAUUUUCAUUCUUGGAAGCAAGUUUAUAAUUCCUAGUUAAAGGGAUUAUUUUAUUAUUUUUCAGAGAUGAGAUUGGUGAUAAAUACGAAAUAUUAUUAGUCGACUUAUUGCUCGGCUAAUUGAAGUGACGGAUGUUAUUUAAUUAUUUAUCUAUGAGCUUUCUUUUUUUUUAAUAGUGAUAGUUUGAGGAAAUUUAGUAUAUCGUGGACGGAGGGAGUAUUAUAUUUCAUUGGGUGUAUAAUAAUUUAUUAAUUUAGAUAGCUAUCAAAUACUACUUGAGCUUGGAGCACAAGUUUCGUGAGUCAUAUUAGUGUAGAGAAUUGCUUUUCUAAUUUAUUCUUAUUUUUAUUUGAUCUAAUUUGAGGGCCACAAAAUAAGGCUUAUAGGAAAAGCCAAGUUUUACCUCUUAUUAUUUAUUUCUUCUACAAACCUCAAAUGGGCCGAUCAAGUAAGGGAAAUGAGGUUUGAAUUAUAUUGCUCAUUUCUAUAAUUGGAUUUAAAUUUUUAAUGUUUGAGAUAAGCAUUUAUUUAUUGUAAAGUGUAUAUAUUAGUUUGAGGAGAUUCAUUUCCUUUUCUUCUCCCCAAAACAGUCGACCUUCUCCCCUCUCUCUUUAUGGAACCUCAGUUUAGUUUGCUUUCAACCUUCAAGAAGAUUCAGCCGCCACCUCUGCUCCGACCGCCGUCGGCUGCCGUCGAGUCCAAGUCCGACGUCUCGUCUGUUCUUCCCUGGUGCCCCUCGCACUACUCUCAUCUUCUCUCAAUUUAGCGAAGAACCCAAAUGAGAAGCCCUAAUUUCAAAAUCCGAAAUCGCCGUCACCCGAGCCCGAAAUUCGGCAAUACAGCAUCCUCCUCUUCGACGUGGUCGAAGUUCUCGCACCGGAAGUCCUCGCCGUUCCCCCUUCUUUUCCGGUGUGGAGCCCUAAUUCUUAGUAGAAGGAAAUUACUACUGUCGCGACUGGAAGGCCAACGAACGGCUGAGCUUCGCCCAUCUCUGCCUUGAAUCCAUGCUCGAGAAGGAGAGAAAGGAAAACGAGCCCUAAUUCUUUUCUACUCCCGCCGUCAUGGUUCGGCUGCCACCUCCGCCGUCUGUGGAAGACCGGCGAUUCAGCGGCGCCGCUCCAUUCACAACGCCGCUACUGCUGCUACACGAUCCCCUCCGAGGCAGCAAGCGCUGCUGUCAUCAUCGUCGUCUUGGCUCGACUGAACAGGGUCGCGUCCCUCGUCGUCGAAAAGUUAGUAUUCUACUUGUUAUUGUAGAAAGUGUUUGAUGUUGCUUGUGAUUUCUGAGUUCAUGCCAUAAUAAUCGAGGCAUAGGUGACUUCUCUCUAAGAUUCCUAAAGUGAGAUAUUAAACAAAAUGUUAUAUGUUUCUAAGUUAGUAAUUACUUUAAAUUAAGUAAAAUGAUGGCAGGAAUCAUAGCUUCAGCCCAAAGCUUCGAUUUUUGACCCUCCCUCAAGAACCCCAGAAUUUCAUCUUCUUUAUAUUUGUAUCAAUUGACUAUGUAUACAUGUCUAUAUGUAUGUGAAGAAUUGAUUGGGAUUUAUUUGGGUAUUUAUUCACAAGAAAACAUGAUUCCCUAAUAGUUUAGUUUAAGUGGAUUUGGGAGUUCUUGGAAUAAGCUAGCUACAUGUUUGAUGCUUGUGUAAUUGUACUCCUUGAAUUGUAAAAUGAGAUUAUAUGACAAUAGUUGGAGGAUAUCAAGCAUGCUACUAUAUGUUGAUGUGUUGAACAUGAAUUACGUUUAAGCUAAAGCAUGCUAAUGUGUAGUAAGAUGAUGUAUUUGAGUUACUAUAGCUUUUAUUUGAUAAAAAUAUGAGUUAUAUGUUGAGUUGAGAUGAAGAAGGUAUUGCUGUUGGUUUUGCUGUACAGGACAGUACCUUGUAAGGUAUUUUCGGGAGUGUUCCUGUGAUCCAAAUAACUUGAAUUUUACUGUAUAACUUCAUCAUGAGUAGUAGAUCUCUGCAAAUUUCAGCUAAAUCCGAGACCAAUAGACAUGUCAAACUAUUUUCUGAAAUGUACUGCGUGAAGCAGCGUAGUUCAGUGGCAGAUUCUACCUUUGGUGAUAUAACUUCUUAUACACUUGAGAUAUUGUAUUUUUGUAAAUUUCUAAGAAAUAUAGACGUUAAUAGCUUUCUAAAAAGGUAAAGCUCGUAUUUUUCCUUGAAGCGAUUGAUUUUAUAUGAUUUUCCAAAGUUAGGAUUCAAAUGUGUAUGUGUCUUGAUUAAACUUGUGAUUGGUAGUUAAUUGAGAUCCUACACUACUAAACUUGAAUUGAGGUUUUAUUGUUCUAACUACCUAUUGAGGAUUAUUGAUUACUAAAGCUUGUUAAUAUGAUAGUUGAUGGACAUAAUUAUGUUUAUAUGAUUAAUUACUUUGGGAUUUUGUGUUUUACAUGUAUGGUUAGUUGUAAACUGAUCUCUAUGGAAUGGAUUUGUUUACUUCUAAACUUUCUCAAGUAGAGGAAUUCCUAUAAGAUAGGAAUAUUAGUUUAUACUUUCUUAAAGUUCAUAAGAGUUAGUAUAUUGGUUAGUUUAGUUGAUUCAACCCUAGCUCUGCAGAAGAUUAAAAGUUUAUUGGGAUGUUAUUUAUAGCUAAUUCUUCUUAUCUAGUUAUCCAAUCUUAUUUUAGAAUCUUGCUAUUAUGAAGGUGACAGUAGCAAUGAUAGAUAAGUGAGCAAGAGUUUCUACAUCGUUAAGCGUAUCAGGUGGGCUUUCUAAACUCAUAAUUUGAAGUGCGCACUAUUUAAUUAUGUUAUUAUAUGAAUGAAGUUAUAUUAAAGUUAUUGACUUGCCAAAACUUUUAUGAGCUUGUAUGUUACCAUCUACGAGAGAUAGACGAUAUCGGCCCUAUGCUGAAGCGAGAUGUCAGUAAGGGUUUGUGCACAUAGUUGUGACCGUGAGUCAUCGAGCGGGUUGGCCGGUCACUGUGAUCGGGAGCCUUCGGGCCGAUCACUGUGUUUGAGAAGGAGGCCUACUUCUCAACACAAGGUUACAUGAUGCGUAGUUAUGGUACAUACAUGUUAAUUGUCUGCAGACGUAUAUGAUAUUAUGAUGAUAUAUAUAUAGAAGUUUUACAGUUUUGGCGUGCACAGGUUAUUUAAAUAAAACUCCUGUGUGAUGCUUGAGAUGGCAAGUUCAAUAUAUAGCUCUAAGAGCAAACUUUAAAGUUAUUUCGGCAUGUGACCAUUGAGUACCUUUUUAGUACUCAGCCCUGCAUAUGUUUCUAAAUGUGCAGGUUAAGCUGUGAUGCAGAUGGAGGCGAGCAGAGCAAAGCUUUUGAAGUAUAAGUAUUAAAUUAGGCUCAGGAUUUCAUGUCUUCAUACAUGUAAUCCACUUAAGUUAUUCCGCUGCAACACUUAGUGUAUUUUACUUUAUUGAUGUGUUGUACAGAUUUUAAACCAAUAGCUUCGAAAAUUAUGUCACUUGAAAAUUUGACAACUUGUCGUUAUGUAUUGUGAGUUGUCUGCUUUGAGUUUUAGAAAAGAUUGUUUAUGAUUACCAAAUAUUUAGGUAAAUUAUUGUUUAAGCAAGAUGAUUAUUUUUAUUGAAACCUCUUUUAUUUUCCAUUUUCUUUUUCCAUUUCCCCAGUCACAUUUUCCCCGGCUUAACUGUUGUUAGCUUAGGUCGGGCUGUGACAGAGUGGUAUCAGAGCAGGUCAUUUGCUCUGAGCCUAAAUAUCCUUUUGAGUCUAGUCUAAAUUUGAAUCUUUGGACUAGUAUGAGUAAUAUAGUAAAAGCUCUGCUCUCCAUCUCAUCCAGCUUAGCCAGGUACGGAUUUUUCAGAGUUUUAAAGUAGCAUGUUACAUUUUUAAACAAGUUUGAGAUAUGAGUUGCAGUUUUGCAAGUAUUAGUAUGAUGGAAACUUAUAUAUUUUAAAAUGAGCAUGGACAACAUGAGUUAUUUUUGAGUAUCCUCUGCCUAUACGAACUUUUGGAUUUGAAUGGAUAAAAGUGUUAUUCAUAUAUUAAUAUUUAUAUUUUGAUAUGUGGAUGGAGAUAUAGACAGUUUGAUGAUACAAUAAUGAUGUAUAUCAGUCGCGAUGUAACCUAGUACUAGUAGUGAUGUUAUACAGUUAGGGCACCACAAUUAGUACUAAGAGCUUUUUGCAACAUAUAUUCCUAUCUUUCGUAUGAGAACUCAUUGAGGCAAAUUUUCCCAUGAUAUGAAACGACCGAAGUAGUCAUUUACUAGGUUGUUGAGCUUUAAUUGCUUAGAUGAUUGAAAUUUUGUGUAUGAGUUUUAUACUUUAGUUGGUUUAUAGUUAUGUAGCAGUUUGACUUUACGGAUGGAAUAAAAGCUCAAUUAUGGGGAUUUUGUGUAUUUACUCGGCAUGAUAUCUCAAAGAAGAAAUGGAAAUUUGCCAUCCGCCAUGUGAAUAAUUUAGAGGAAAGUUUUUCAUCAUCAAGAUCCCCCUAUUCAUAGUAGAGUUUCACGAGUUUCGCUUCCUUAGAUGCAAUGAUCAAGAGCGCCUUCUUGUAUGUUAUUUCAACUACAAGGAUCGACUGAUUCUUAGUGGGAGACGAAGCAGAAGAUACAUACCCUCGAGCGAUUAGAGAAUCUUAUUUGGGGCCACGUCACAGAAGUUUCUAUGAAGAACAUGUUCCCAGAAGCUACCAUAAGCAAAUGAAGAUGAUCGUGGUUGAAUAUGAUUGAGAGUUUUGAGACAUAUCUCGAUAUACGCCUUAUAAGGUUGAAACAUAGAGUAGUUGUAACUUUUGAUAGAGUUUUGAUGUAGUGCCUUUACUUGUUGGCAAACCAAAUAUUCUUUCAGCUAUUGCAAGCCAAACAUUCCUUCAACUAAUGAAGAUAUCUCUUUUCCAUUUCAUCCCUCCCACCAAAAGUUUUGUUUGAAAUCUUGAUAUAAUUUAGUGCUUCUGUGGUGGGCAGUAUAUAGCGUAUCAUGAGCUUUACUCGUGAUUUUAUUUCUCAACUGUUCAGUAUUGGGUACACAACUUUUCUCAAACAUGAUAGCAGUACCCCUAGCUUUUUGGCAAGUAUUGACCCCUUCUAUCAAAAUCCUUACCCAUAAUUUUUCUCCUUUUUAUUUUCCCCAUGUACUUUAACAAUUCUUCUUCUCAAAUCAAAAAUCAUUGUUAACAUUGCAAUUACAGCUUCUCUUGUUUGCUGUGGUAGAACCAUUUGUAAAUCCAACUUUCAAAUCCUUGAUGAGAAUUUUUCUUCAUGGGUAAGGAGAAAUCCUUAGUAAACUUGAGUUUUUCUACUCAAGGCAUCCACUACUAUAUUGGCUUUGCGUGGGUGAUAAUUUAUUCUACAAUCAUAGUCCCUUACUAAUUCGAGCUAUAUUCCUUGUCUCACACUUAGAUCUUUUGCUCGAAUAAGUAUUUUAAACUUUUAUGAGGUGUAUCAAUUCCACAUCUCGUUUCAGAAUACCAUUGUUGCUAGUUCCAAGUUAUGUUGAGCAAUUCAGUUCUUGUGGUCUAUGUUCUCAUGACCCAAUAACAAUAACUCUUUCACUUUGCAACAAUGCACAACCAAGUCCAUCUUUGAUACACAGGACCAAUUUUAUAUGGUCUUUCAACUUUGAGAAUUCGGCCAUAUUUUAAAAUAGCCUUUCAUCCAACAACAGAUGAGCAAUUUGAGAGAAAUCUUUAAACCUUAGAAGAUGUGACAUAGACUAUUGUACUAGAGCGAAGAAGUGGCGACCUUAGCAGUAGGGACACUGGCGAUCGUAAGAAAUUCUGGGUUCCAAAACUCUCUUUCCAAAAAUGAUUUUUCAGAAGGAGCGAAUUCCCCGCAAACAAGGCAGGAGACGACUAUCUCAAGGUGCAUCACGCGUACUCAGAAGCCGCAUUAUGCACUAGCUUGAAGGAUGAAUUGGGAAAACCUUUUGCUAGUAAUUGAAUUGGCCUACAAUUAUAGCUUUCGGGCAAUAAUUGAUAUGACACCAUAUGGAGCUUAUUGUGGAAAGAAAUAUUGAUCUCCACUCUAUUGACAUGAGGUAAGUGAAAGAAAAGUAACAGGACCUGAUGCGCUUGAAGAAAUGAUUACGCUUAUCCGACAAAUUCAACAACUGCUCAACGAACCUCAAGAGCGACAGAAAUUUUUUUUUUUUUUUUUUUUAGAUACUCGUUGAUUUGAUUUGAAAUUUUUGAAAUAGGGGAUGAAGUUUUUCUCAGUGUUCCGCAUUCUAAGAAUGCACAAAUUCGAUGUGAAAGAGAAGUAUCUAGCAUUAUUCUCUGACGUAGUCAAAUUUCGAGGACGAAAUUUCUUUAAGGGGGAGAGGAUGUAACACCCAGCAUUUUCACUACAGUAUAUAUAUUAUUUUCUAUUAUCUAAAAGAAGAAAGAGAAGUAGAAUCACUGAGAUGAGAUGAGAUAUUAUUAUAAUACCUUGAGCUUUUAAUUCAAUGAUUGCAUAAUUUGAAUAAUUAAGUAUUCUUGCUUUCUUUAUUAUUUUCAUUCUUGGAAGCAAGUUUAUAAUUCCUAGUUAAAGGGAUUAUUUUAUUAUUUUUCAGAGAUGAGAUUGGUGAUAAAUACGAAAUAUUAUUAGUCGACUUAUUGCUCGGCUAAUUGAAGUGACGGAUGUUAUUUAAUUAUUUAUCUAUGAGUUUUUUUUUUUAAUAGUGAUAGUUUGAGGAAAUUUAGUAUAUGUAUAUAGAAUUGUAUUAUAUUUCAUUGGGUGUAUAAUAAUUUAUUAAUUUAGAUAGCUAUCAAAUACUACUUGAGCUUGGAGCACAAGUUUCGUGAGUCAUAUUAGUGUAGAGAAUUGCUUUUCUAAUUUAUUCUUAUUUUAUUUGAUCUAAUUUUGAGGGCACAAAAUACUUAAGGAAAAGCCAAGUUUCCUCAUAUUAUGUAGAGAAUUGCUUUUCUAAUUUAUUCUUAUUUUUAUUUGAUCUAAUUUUGAGGGCCACAAAAUAAGGCUUAUAGGAAAAGCCAAGUUUUCCUCUUAUUAUUUAUUUCUUCUACAAACCUCAAAUGGGCCGAUCAGUAAGGGAAAUGAGGUUUGAAUUAUAUUGCUCAUUUCUAUAAUUGGAUUUAAAUUUUUAAUGUUUGAGAUAAGCAUUUAUUUAUUGUAAAGUGUAUAUAUUAGUUUGAGGAGAUUCAUUUCCUUUUCUUCUCCCCAAAACAGUCGACCUUCUCCCCUCUCUCUUUAUGGAACCUCAGUUUGAGUUUACUUUCAACCUUCAAGAAGAUUCAGCCGCCGCCUCUGCUCCGACCGUCGUCGGCUGCCGUCGGGUCCAAGUCCGGCGUCUCGUCUGUUCUUCCCUGGUGCCCCUCGCACUACUCUCAUCUUCUCUCAAUUUAGCGAAGAACCCAAAUGAGAAGCCCUAAUUUCAAAAUCCGAAAUCGCCGUCACCCGAGCCCGAAAUUCGGCAAUACAGCAGCCUCCUCUUCAACGUGGUCGAAGUUCUCGCACCGGAAGUCCUCGCCGUUCCCCCUCUUUUUCGAUGUGGAGCCCUAAUUAUUAGAAGAAGGAAAUUACUACUGUCGCGACUGGAAGGCCAACGAACGGCUGAGCUUCGCCCAUCUCUGCCUUGAAUCCAUGCUCGAGAAUGAGAGAAAGGGAAACGAGCUCUAAUUCUUUUCUACUCCCGCCGUCAUGGUUCGGCUGCCACCUCCGCCGUCUGUGGAAGACCGGCGAUUCAGCGGCGCCGCUCCAUUCACGACGCCGCUACUGCUGCUACACGAUCCCCUCCGAGGCAGGAAGCGCUGCUGUCAUCAUCGUCGUCUUGGCUCGACUGAACAGGGUAGCGUCCCUCGUCGUCGAAAAGUUAAGUAUUCUACUUGUUAUUGUAGAAAGUGUUUGAUGUUGCUUGUGAUUUCUGAGUUCAUGCCAUAAUAAUCGAGGCAUAGGUGACUUCUCUCUAAGAUUCCUAAAGUGAGAUAUUAAACAAAAUGUUAUAUGUUUCUAAGUUAGUAAUUACUUUAAAUUAAGUAAAAUGAUGGCAGGAAUCAUAGCUUCAGCCCAAAGCUUCGAUUUUUGACCCUCCCUCAAGAACCCCAGAAUUUCAUCUUCUUUAUAUUUGUAUCAAUUGACUAUGUAUACAUGUCUAUAUGUAUGUGAAGAAUUGAUUGGGAUUUUAUUUGGGUAUUUAUUCACAAGAAAACAUGAUUCCCUAAUAGUUUAGUUUAAGUGGAUUUGGGAGUUCUUGGAAUAAGCUAGCUACAUGUUUGAUGCUUGUGUAAUUGUACUCCUUGAAUUGUAAAAUGAGAUUAUAUGACAAUAGUUGGAGGAUAUCAAGCAUGCUACUAUAUGUUGAUGUGUUGAACAUGAAUUACGUUUAAGCUAAAGCAUGCUAAUGUGUAGUAAGAUGAUGUAUUUGAGUUACUAUAGCUUUUAUUUGAUAAAAAUAUGAGUUAUAUGUUGAGUUGAGAUGAAGAAGGUAUUGCUGUUGGUUUUGCUGUACAGGACAGUACCUUGUAAGGUAUUUUCGGGAGUGUUCCUGUGUUCGAAAUGAUUUGAAAUUUUUACAGUAAUUACUUCAUUAUGAGUAUUAGAUCUCUGCAAAAUUUCAGCUAAAUCCGAGACCAAUAGACAUGUCAAACUAUUUUCUGAAAUGUACUGCACGGAGCAGCAGAGUUCAGUGCAGAUUCUGUCUUUGGUCAUAUAACUUCUUAUCCACUUGAGAUUUUGUGUUUUUGUAAAUUUCUGAGAAAUAUAGACAUCAAUAGCUUUCUAAAAAGGUAAAACUCGUAUUUUUCCUUGAAGCGAUUGAUUUUAUAUGAUUUUCCAAAGUUAGGAUUCAAAUGUGUAUGUGUCUUGAUUAAACUUGUGAUUGGUAGUUAAUUGAGAUCCUACACUACUAAACUUGAAUUAAGGUUUUAUUGUUCUAAUUACCUAUUGAGAAUUAUUGAUUACUAAGCUUGUUAAUAUGAUAGUUGAUGGACAUAAUUAUGCUUAUAUGAUUAAUUACUUUGGGAUUUUGUGUUUUACAUGUAUGGUUAGUUGUAAACUGAUCUCUAUGGAAUGGAUUUGUUUACUUCUAAACUUUCUUAAGUAGAGGAAUUCCUAUAAGAUAGGAAUAUUAGUUUAUACUUUCUUAAAGUUCAUAGAGUUAGUAUAUUGGUUAGUUUAGUUGAUGCAACCCUAGUAGUUUAUUGGGAUGUUAUUUAUAGCUAAUUCUUCUUAUCUAGUUAUCCAAUCUUAUUUUAGAAUCUUGCUAUUAUGAAGGUGACAGUAGCAAUGAUAGAUAAGUGAGCAAGAGUUUCUACAUCGUUAAGCGUAUCAGGUGGGCUUUCUAAACUCAGAAUUUGAAGUGCGCACUAUUUAAUGAUGUUAUUAUAUGAAUGAAGUUAUAUUAAAGUUAUUGACUUGCCAAAUUAUUUUAUGAGCUUGUAUGUUACCAUCUACGAGAGAUAGACGAUAUCGGCCCUAUGCUGAAGCGAGAUGUCAGUAAGGGUUUGUGCACAUAGUUGUGACCGUGAGUCAUCGAGCGGGUUGGCCGGUCACUGUGAUCGGGAGCCUUCGGGCCGAUCACUGUGUUUGAGAAGGAGGCCUACUUCUCAACACAAGGUUACAUGAUGCGUAGUUAUGGUACAUACAUGUUAAUUGUCUGCAGACGUAUAUGAUGUUAUGAUGAUAUAUAUAUAUAUAGAAGUUCUACAGUUUUGGCGUGCACAGGUUUUUUUUAAAUAAAACACAUGUGUGAUGCUUGAGAUGGCAAGAGCAAUAUAUAGCUCUAAGAGCAAGCUUUAAAGUUAUUUCGGCAUGACCAUUGAGUGCUUUUCGGUACUCAGCCCUGCAUAUGUUUCUAAAUAUGCAGGUUAAGCUGUGAUGUAGAUGGAAGCGAGCAGAGCAAAUUCUUUGAUGUAUAUGUAUUAAACCAGGCUCAGGAUUCCAUGUCUUCAUACAUGUAAUCCACAUGAAUUAUUCCGCUGCAACACUUAGUCUAUUCUACUUUAUUGAUGUGUUGUACAUAUUUUAAAUCAAUAGCUUCGAGAAUUAUGUCACUUGAAAGUUAGACAACUUGUCGUUGUGUAUUGUAAGUUGUCUACUCAUGAGUUUUAAAAGUGAU